GCGAGCCGCAGUCUGUGCACUCUCGGGGGUGCAGGGUCCUGCCCGUUCCACCCUGUCCUCCACGGGAGAGGACGCGCGGAAGCUCGGGGCCAGGCCUGAGAGGCCGUGAUUUCUUCAAACGUUCGAGCUGUGCCAGAGUCGCUCGCCCACCCCUGCAGCUGCUCCCCGUUGACCUCUGGAAGGGAGAAAUCUCAACAGAACAGAACCGACUCGGGGGCGAUUUCUCUGCACCAUUGCUGGUCACGGCAGGACCAAAAAGGAAGAGACGGCCUGGACAGACCCUGUGGGAGGUGCCCCCGACGGGAAGUGAAGUGAGGUGGGGUGAGGCUCUCCUCAGAAGCCCCAUCUGUGGCGAAAGUGUCGGUGGGUUCCCCAGUCCUGAAGCUACGUCAGAUCUGCUUUCUCCGCACACUGGUCCUCGGCCUCGGUGAAUAGCACAGAAAUGAGGAGGCAGCGCUGGAGAUGGGGUGAAAGACUGUAUUAAUAAAGGAAAUCAUGGUGGUCUUUGGGUCCUGCACAUAACAGUGGAGGAAUCAUUAAUUUAGGGGCACCUGAUAUGUAGGAAACUGUGCUCUACCAAAGAUAAGAGGGCAAAAGACUGUAAGGCUGGUUUUAUAAACUGUAAAAAAAUUUACUUGGUAUUCUUAGGACGUGCUCUGCUCAACUUUACUUGAAUUUCGCAAACAAAAAACAUGGAACAACAAGAAUAGCUACUAUUUGUUGAGCAUAUUUUAUGUGUAAAGCACUUUAUGGAGUGCAUUAUAUUUAUUGUUGUAACCUUCACAACGACCCAGAAAUAUAGCUACUAUUAUUUUCAUUUUAUAGUAGAGGAAAUAGAAGUUCACAGAGAAAUAGUUUGCUUAAUUGUAAUGCUAUAGCUAACACUAGCCUGUACCUAUCCAAGGCAUAGUAAGACACGCUUGUUUGAAAAUCAAUACUAUAAGUAGCAUAGGGAAUGUGGUUACAAAUAAAUGUGCUUUUAAAUAAGGAAAAGGCCAUAUGAGAAGCAUAGUUUGAAAUACUGCCAAAUUCAGGAAAAGAAAUAUAUAUCUGUGAUUGUAGUGGUCAGGGAAGGCUUCAUGGGGCCGGGACUUGGAGAGUGGGCAGAGUGUGGUCUGGCUGAGAAACAGGGUCGCGCAUUGGGGUGGACAGGACUGAGGGAUGCAAUGAGGCAGGACUCGGGGACACCGGUGUUGCUCAGUCUGCUGGGUACAGUUUGUUAUGAAAGAAUCGUGCGAGAGAAGUUUAGAGGAGUUAGUGGAACUGGAAAAAAAGAAAGCUUCUGAGUGUUACAAAAUCUGGAUUUUUUUUUUAUCUGCCAUUGGGAACUUCAAGGUUUUUGUGAUCGGGUUUAUUUUAGGCAAUCAGAAUCUGUUUGGAAAGUCAUUUCAGUGACUCAGCAAUAAGAUUAGUCAUGGCUGGUGGAAGGAGAGGAAGGAAUGAGAGAGAGAGAAAGGGACAACUUUUAGGAAGAACAACCUAGCCACAAAGACCUGGCCUUGCAUCUGCCUGCUGCAUCUACCAUUCACCUGGACAGCAGUGAUAAUUAGCCAACAUCUAUUGAGCAUUUACUAUAUGCCUUGCACUGUGCAAGUCAUUCAUUUGUUCCACAGAUACUAUUUUCUCCAUGUCAAGUGUCCUUUCAGGCACUAGCGAGACAGCUGAAAAUGACAGAAAUUGCUCUGUUCUGUUUCUAAUUCUAUGAGACAGAUGCCAUUAUCAUCACCAUUUUACAGAUGAGGAAACCACAGCUUUGAGAGUUUAAAUAACUGCCCAAGGUCACAUACACGGUAAGUGGCAGAUCCGUGACUGUCUGGAUUUCAAAAUCUAGGCAUCAAACCACCAGGCCAUGACAGCAAUGUGCAGAUAACUGACUCUUCCUGAGCUGCAGCUGUCUUUUCUGUAAAACGGGACAUAGACCCUCCUCUUAAUACAAGUUCGUUUUGUUAAUUUAUUUAUUCCUUCAUGAUUAGUGGCUAAUUAGACUAGACAAUUUCAAAAAGCUUCCUAACACUUCUUUAAAUAAAGCUUGCAUAGUCCUAGUGAGUUUAGUGAAGAAUGGGAGGAUGCUCACAUGAGGAUUAUGUCACUUCUUGUCUUUUGACAAGGGCCACAUUUGGAAGUAGCAAAGACAAACACAGAUAAAUUCAUUCUCUUUGGUCACAUUUCUGAAGUUUUCUUGAUUUUCUCCAGGAGUCAGGAGAAAAGAAUUAACCCUGUGUGCAUUUGUUUCAUUCCACAACUUUUAAAACGGUGCCAUAGACUCGAUGACAUUUUUGUUAAAAUUAUGGGUUUGGGGAAUUUGGUAAGAGGUCACUUUUCUUAGGCUACACUGCAGAAAGAACUAGCCAAGAGGCUGCACGACUUGGUUAAGCAUGUUGAAGGAGGCAUCCUGUGUGAGUAAUAGCACCUUCUUAGUCAGAUUAUAUUCUUAUGAAGGUGGCCUGGAGAGGGGACAGGAAAUGGCACAUAAACCCUGCAAUUGGGACUUGCUGCUGGGCCACCUUUUAAAGACAGGAAAUGCAUUAAGAAAAGAAAGCCACAUUAAUCAUGUUUCCUUGUGGAGAAUACCACCCACCAUAUCUUCCCACCAGAAUAGGUACAGAAAGGGUUGUUAAGAACAUUGAAGCCAGUUUCCCUUUAUUUUCUUUUUUAUUCAUUUUUAAUUGACAAAUAUUAAUUAUAUAUAUUUAUAGGCUACAAUGUGAUGUUUUGAUCUAUGUAAACUUCAUAGAAAGAUUCGAUCAAGCUAAUGAAUGUAUCUAUCACCUCACCAAUUUAUUAUUUUUGUGUGUGGUGAGAAUUUUAACAAUCUAUUUGAGCAAUUUUGAGAUAUACUAAAUAUAAUACCUGUCCUGACAAAUGCAAAACCUGUCCCAAGAAAGUCAAGUACGGAGCAUAAUGAGUUAGAGAUCAGAAAUCAUUUCAUAUAGAUUUUCUUAUUUCAUUCACAUUUCCUAAAUAUUUUUUGUGUAUCUGACCAGGUGUUAAGGAUUCAAGGACAGAUUUAUAUGUGGCAAAACUAAAUGUGUUCAUUUGUUUGCUGAUGCUUUGGCUUUGAGGAGUGGCUUUAGUUUCUUAUUUAAUGACAGUGAACCUUAGUUUCUCAUUUAUAGAACAUAGGCAAUAAUGACAUUUACUUCAUAGGGUAGUUAUGAGUAUUAAAUCAGAUAGCACAUAUAGAUCCAUAAACCUGGCUGGCAGAUAGUGUGUUGAAAUAAAUGUUACCUGCUACUACUAGUCACUGGGAGAUGCUGGGAUAGAAUGAUAAGCAAUACUGGCAUGCUUGCUGCCCUCUAGGGGCUUAGAGUCUAUCACCAUUAUUAAUUUUCCAAAGAGGCUGUGGAAGAUAUGUUAAUAGGAUAUAGUCAUCGCCCAAGGGAACAAUGGCCAGUUUAAGCCGGGAGAUACUGAAAAGCCUCUAUGAAAUGGUAAGGUUGGGACUGGGGCUGAGGGGUAUGAGAAAGCGUAUUCCAGGCAGGCAAAUCUGUGUGCAAAAAAGGUAGUGCAAAAAGCCAGGACUGCUCAGGACAUGGAAACAGCUGCUCAGAGCUAGAACACUGAGAUUGUUGGGUGGGAAGACUGAAGAGGAAGCUAGAGCUAAAUCAAGGGGGGAUUUUUGUGCAGUUUGAUUCUGGCUGUGGUUUAAAUGUGUCUCUCAAAAAUUCAUAUAUGUUGAAGCCUAACCACCCAGGUGACUGUAUUAGCAGGUGGGGCUUUAAAGGGAGGAGGGCAUGCGUGAGGUUCGUGCCCUUAUAACAGGGCUGCAGGGAGGUAGCUUUUUCCCUUCUGCCUUGUACCAUGUGAAGACACAGCAACAAGCAGAGAGCAGCCCUCACCAGACACCGAAACUGCUGGCACCUUGA